rnacentral:rRNA from 1 species
UUGUCGUCAGCUCGUGUCGUGAGAUGUUGGGUUAAGUCCCGCAACGAGCGCAACCCUCGACCUUAGUUGCCAGCAUUCAGUUGGGCACUCUAAGGUGACUGCCGGCUAAAAGUCGGAGGAAGGUGGGGAUGACGUCAAAUCAUCAUGCCCCUUAUGACCUGGGCUACACACGUGCUACAAUGGGCGGUACAAAGGGUCGCGAACCCGCGAGGGGGAGCCAAUCCCAAAAAGCCGCUCUCAGUUCGGAUUGCAGGCUGCAACUCGCCUGCAUGAAGCCGGAAUCGCUAGUAAUCGCGGAUCAGCAUGCCGCGGUGAAUACGUUCCCGGGCCUU